CGCCGCGGUAAUACGUAGGUGGCAAGCGUUAUCCGGAAUUAUUGGGCGUAAAGCGUGAGCAGGCGGCCGUUUAAGUUUGAAGUCAAAUCCAGGGGCUCAACCCCUGUCCGCUUUGAAAACUGGAUGGCUAGAGUACGAGAGAGGUAUGUGGAAUUCCAAGUGUAGCGGUGAAAUGCGUAGAUAUUUGGAGGAACACCAGUGGCGAAGGCGGCAUACUAGCUCGAUACUGACGCUCAGUCACGAAAGCGUGGGGAGCAAAUAGGAUUAGAUACCCUAGUAGUCCACGCCGUAAACGUUGAGAACUAAGUGUUGGGGAGACCCAGUGCUGAAGCUAACGCAUUAAGUUCUCCGCCUGAGGAGUACGCACGCAAGUGUAAAACUUAAAGGAAUUGACGGGGGCCCGCACAAGCAGUGGAGCAUGUGGUUUAAUUCGAGGCUACGCGAAGAACCUUACCAGGGCUUGACAGGAAACUUAAGACCCUAGAGAUAGGGGGAUAAUAAGUGAAACAGGUGGUGCAUGGCC
rnacentral:rRNA from 1 species